rnacentral:rRNA from 1 species
GGAGUGGACGCAUCACUGGUGUUCGGGUUGUCAUGCCAAUGGCACUGCCCGGUAGCUAAAUGCGGAAGAGAUAAGUGCUGAAAGCAUCUAAGCACGAAACUUGCCCCGAGAUGAGUUCUCCCUGAGACUUAGAGUCUCCUGAAGGAACGUUGAAGACGACGACGUUGAUAGGCCGGGUGUGUAAGCGCAGCGAUGCGUUGAGCUAACCGGUACUAAUGAACCGUGAGGCUUAACCUU